rnacentral:snRNA from 1 species
CUGCGGACAAGCAGAUAAAGAGUGAAUGGUACAGAGAAGAUUAGCAUAGCCCCUGCACAAGGACGACGUAUGAAUUUGUAUUUUUUUUUUUU